rnacentral:lncRNA from 1 species
AUGGACAUCAGCAAAUGCAACCAAGACCUCCCGCUACCCUGGAGAGCUGGGUUUAAGACAUUUGCCAGCACACCACUGCCCAGGGACCAGUCUCAGCUCCAGAGCUGUGGGUUAUUGGUAAAGGAUGUGAUUUCAUUGAGCCUCAGUUUCUGUAUCUGUAAAGCAGGAAUCUAUCACUUAUGAAAUAUCCUGUGCAGGCACAAUCUUAGGUGUGGAGGAUACAAUACAACAAUUGGGACAUUGGCUUUUUCCUGCCUCUACACUACAACUACACCAUCAAGCCUUCAGACAUGGAAAGGAACCACACUAUUGGCUCUCCUCGGUCUUCAGCUUGCCAACUCAAUGCAGAUCUUUGCAUUUGUCAGCCUUAUAACCAUGUGAGCUAAUUCCCUAAAAUAAAUGUCCUCAUUUAAAUGUA